GAUGAACGCUAGCGGCAGGCCUAACACAUGCAAGUCGAGGGGUAGCAGGAUUAAGCUUGCUUAAUUGCUGACGACCGGCGCACGGGUGCGUAACGCGUAUGCAACCUACCUUAUACUGGGGUAUAGCCCGGAGAAAUUCGGCUUAAUCCCCCAUAGUACUAAUGAAUCGCAUGGUUUAUUAGUUCAAGCAUUGCGGUAUAAGAUGGGCAUGCGUCCGAUUAGCUAGAUGGUGAGGUAAGGGCUCACCAUGGCUACGAUAGGUAGGGGGCCUGAGAGGGUGGUCCGCCACACUGGUACUGAGACACGGACCAGACUCCUACGGGAGGCAGCAGUGAGGAAUAUUGGUCAAUGGGCGCAAGCCUGAACCAGCCAUGCCGCGUGCAGGAAGAAUGCCCUAUGGGUUGUAAACUGCUUUUAUUUGGGAAUAAACCUCUUUACGCGUAGAGAGCUGAAGGUACCAAAUGAAUAAGCACCGGCUAACUCCGUGCCAGCCGCCGCAGUAA
rnacentral:rRNA from 1 species